GCCUGGAGUCUACUGCAGCUGCUUUCUUCAUGCUUUUCCCAUAGUUAGACUGCAUUUAUCAUGCUUACCCUGGUUUGCUUGGUUUUUUUCAUACCAUACCUUGAUGGUCUUUACAGUGAUUGUGUGCGUUACCAUACUCACUGUGCUUUACACUUUGCUAUGAUCAGAACUUAAAUUCUGGCCUCUAUACACAAUGAAGAGAGAACUGAUCUGUGUAAAUGUAGGCUUAAAAAAAUAAUCAGCCGUUUUAUUAGCGAGUUUGGCAAGUCCUGUGAAGCGCCCUGGAAUGCUUGUACAUAAAGGAAAUCGGUCCUGUACCGAUUCACACAGCUGUGGUGUUCCCCUGACUUCCACAGGUUGUAGUAAAUCUCCUCCACGAGGCUGAUCAGUUAAUGACGCUGACGUCAGCAGAAGACCUUCCCCACUGCAGAGCUUGCUGUUUAGUUGAAUGGUGAGGCAUCAUUACAAGGCACUGGAGUGUUUUGCACAUAUGGAUAGAGGCUACUUGAUUGCACAUAUUUUUUUUUGUGUAAAUUUUGCUUCAACACCCCUGAACUAAGCAGUUUUUAAAAAGCCUGUAUCACUUGUAUAUUGUAUGAGUAAAACCUUAAUUAAGGAAAACAAACUGAGCCAACCUUUGUCUAGGACAGAGUGACCUACUUUUUCACGACUACUCUGGUAAUGAAUGAUUGAAUGAAGCUUGUGUUGAAGCUUGCUGUUAGUAUUUAAGGAAAUAAACCCUAAAUAAGCAAAUAACAUUUUAACAUCACAAAGACUUAACUACAAAGUAAAAUUAAAAAAACAAAAAAAAACACGUACACAUCAAA